rnacentral:rRNA from 1 species
AGUGAACGCUGGCGGUAGGCCUAACACAUGCAAGUCGAACGGCAGCACAGGAGAGCUUGCUCUCUGGGUGGCGAGUGGCGGACGGGUGAGGAAUACAUCGGAAUCUACUUUUUCGUGGGGGAUAACGUAGGGAAACUUACGCUAAUACCGCAUACGACCUACGGGUGAAAGCAGGGGAUCUUCGGACCUUGCGCGAUUGAAUGAGCCGAUGUCGGAUUAGCUAGUUGGCGGGGUAAAGGCCCACCAAGGCGACGAUCCGUAGCUGGUCUGAGAGGAUGAUCAGCAACACUGGAACUGAGACACGGUCCAGACUCCUACGGGAGGCAGGAGUGGGGAAUAUCGGACAAUGGGCGCAAUCCUGAUCCAGCCAUACCGCGUGGGUGAAGAAGGCCUUCGGGUUGUAAAGCCCUUUUGUUGGGAAAGAAAUCCAGCUGGCUAAUACCCGGUUGGGAUGACGGUACCCAAAGAAUAAGCACCGGCUAACUUCGUGCCAGCAGCCGCCGUAA